rnacentral:rRNA from 1 species
GAUGAACGCUGGCGCCGUGCCUAAUACAUGCAAGUCGAGCGAACAGACGAGGAGCUUGCUCCUCUGACGUUAGCGGCGGACGGGUGAGUAACACGUGGAUAACCUACCUAUAAGACUGGGAUAACUUCGGGAAACCGGAGCUAAUACCGGAUAAUAUAUUGAACCGCAUGGUUCAAUAGUGAAAGACGGUUUUGCUGUCACUUAUAGAUGGAUCCGCGCCGCAUUAGCUAGUUGGUAAGGUAACGGCUUACCAAGGCAACGAUGCGUAGCCGACCUGAGAGGGUGAUCGGCCACACUGGAACUGAGACACGGUCCAGACUCCUACGGGAGGCAGCAGUAGGGAAUCUUCCGCAAUGGGCGAAAGCUUGACGGAGCAACGCCGCGUGAGUGAUGAAGGUCUUCGGAUCGUAAAACUCUGUUAUUAGGGAAGAACAAAUGUGUAAGUAACUAUGCACGUCUUGACGGUACCUAAUCAGAAAGCCACGGCUAACUACGUG